UUCCAACCCCCACCCCCCCUCAUCUAUCACAUGGCAGAGAUAGAAUAAAAACAGAAAAAUGGCGACGGUCACGUUGUGGCGAGCACGUUGCCAGCUGCCACCUUCUUGGAGAAGGACCACACCUGUGCUAAUUCCUCGCUUUGGAGGAGAGGUGAGCUGAGAAACCGACCAGCUUUCCCAAAGCUGUUCACCAGCCCUCCCGUCCCAGAAUUGGCCAGAAAGUGCUGCUUUCACCUGCCGAUUGCGCUGGCCACAUCCAUUCCCCCCACGCACCCCUGCAAGUUGUCUCCAGAUGUAUUGGGAUUUUUUUCUUGCCUCUGGACCUGCAGCUCACAACCAGCAACUAACUGCAGGGUUUAGACAGAAAGAAGUGAUCUCCUUGGUUUUCGUGUGCAUUCUUCGUUCUCCAGGGGGUCUUAACGAUGGAAUCUGCCCCCUCUAUUCUCUCGCUAAGAGCUUAGUCCAGAAUCUGGCCUGAGUAACCAGUUUCUGGCGCUCUUUCUCUGGGCCCCACCCUGGCCCCUCUUGGUUCUCCGGAGCCAAAUACGCCUCCCAAGCAGAAGGCACACCCUGCCCUAAAUCUAACCAUUCCAAAAGGGAGGAGGAAAGAGUGGAAGAGAAGGGACCCAGGGGUCUUCUUUCUGCCUGAGUAUCCCCAACAGCAGCUUCCUCUUCAAGCCGCCUGCAUUUAUAGUCUGUAUUCUUAUCAGCUGCUCCCCAUUUUUGCCUCUAGUCCUACGAUAGAUAUUUAGGUGGGUAAGGGGGUGUGGAAAAAGAGAUGUCACCCCUUUUCCCUGGUGUGAGACAUUUUCAUUCUCAGUCUUUCCAUUUUUGAGAUGCUUAACAAUUAAAAUAUGUAAAUAUG